CGUCAUUGGACGCAGCUGGAUCUGCCAUAGGAACAUCGGAGUCCGGCCUUGGCUGCAGCAGAGUUAUCCCGGGCUGAGGGGGAGUGGCUGUGAACAUGCCAGGGAAAGUGUCCCAGCAGGAAAAUUGACUCAAAGGCAUCGCCCCACCGUUGUGGGUCCCUCUCUGUGAGCCCAUCCUCCAUAGGCGUCCUGACCGCUUGUCUGCUGCGGGACAAGCAGCUCUGGGCUAGUUCUGUUCCUUAGGGGUGUCUUUUUCUUGUUUAUCACCUAGGACUACUCCUGAAUGCCUAGAUUUAUACCUAUGGAUUGCAGGGGAUUUUUCUAAUGGUGGGUUUCGAAUCGUAGACCAUUCUGAAUUGGAAAGGACCCAUAAGGAUCAUCGAGUUCAGCUUCUGGCCCCACAUGGGACAAAUCCAAGAAUUCCACUGCAUGCCUUGGAGUGUUGUCCAAACCUUUGAUGGUCCAGAUGCAGGAGGAAUGGGUGAGGAUGCCAAGGAGAGCUAUUUCUUCAGCCAGGGCUGACUCCCUCACUUGCUCAACAGCAUCACCUGUGUGAUUGGCAUUUUCCCAGCUGAGACUGGCAAGGAUUAAUGAUGCAUGUUAGCAUUCCUCAGGCUGCUACAAUCUUCUGCUUCCUGAGCACAGCUUCUGGUUGCUGUAAAUCAAAGGAACUGUUCAGAAUCUGAGGGUUUGUCAGCUAAAAACUGGGCUCAGUAAUGCACCUGGUUAAAUAAUUGUGUGGGUAGUUCUUGAGGGAUUUUUGAAAGUAUUGUGCUGAAUAAAUGUAAUGUUUGACUGCU